rnacentral:tRNA from 1 species
AGAGUGUAGCUGAGUGGUAGAGUGCACGCCUGGCAUGCAUGAGGUCCUGAGUUCAAUCCCCAGCAUCUCCA